rnacentral:rRNA from 1 species
CCUACGGGGUGGCAGCAGUGGGGAAUAUUGGACAAUGGGCGAAAGCCUGAUCCAGCCAUGCCGCGUGUGUGAAGAAGGCCUUCGGGUUGUAAAGCACUUUCAGUGGGGAAGAAAGCCUUGGGGCUAAUACCCUCGAGGAAGGACAUCACCCACAGAAGAAGCACCGGCUAACUCCGUGCCAGCAGCCGCGGUAAUACGGAGGGUGCGAGCGUUAAUCGGAAUUACUGGGCGUAAAGCGCGCGUAGGCGGUCUGAUAAGCCGGUUGUGAAAGCCCCGGGCUCAACCUGGGAACGGCAUCCGGAACUGUCAGGCUAGAGUGCAGGAGAGGAAGGUAGAAUUCCCGGUGUAGCGGUGAAAUGCGUAGAGAUCGGGAGGAAUACCAGUGGCGAAGGCGGCCUUCUGGACUGACACUGACGCUGAGGUGCGAAAGCGUGGGUAGCAAACAGGAUUAGAUACCCCGGUAGUC